GCCCGUGUAGCUGAUUGGUUUAGCAGAACCUUUGUAAGGUUCCGAAGCAGGUUCGAUUCCUGCCGCGGGCUCCA
rnacentral:tRNA from 1 species